rnacentral:lncRNA from 1 species
GAAAAUAUAUAUAAGCAAAUAAACAACUUAAGGAAUACAUAUUAAAUAUCCAACUUUAAGCAAUGCGAAAUAAAAUGAAUCGCAUCACAGACACAAGCAUGCUUAUAUCAUUCCUACGAUAUUUACAGCAUAAGGUACACAUCAAUGAACCUAAUUUAUUAUAUCCAACCUAUUAUGACACUUAAAUAUUUAAACAAUAAUUCCAUGUAAAUAUAAAAUAAAAGGAUCAGUAAAACAAAAUAAGCAAAAGAAUGUUGGUUUGACUUUUCAAACAUUUUUAAAAAACAUAAACCCAAAUUCACUUUAGAAAAACACAUAAACUCAGUGACAUAAUAAUUUGUUUAAAGCAUAAAAGAGAAAGGAAGUGAACGAUCAACCAGAGCAAAACAGAGUGCGAAGGCAGAAGAUGGCGGUGCAAAGGAGCUUUACACCGACAAUGAGGAGUUACUCUGAAGGUUGUUUGAUUAAGACUUGGGAGUCGCCGACGGUUUGGAUGAAGGAGGUUGUCGUUGGAGUUCGGCUUGUGAGUUGCGAAUGUGGCUUUAAGUCUUCACGCCAUGAAUAGUGAAGUUCAUGUGUUGUUUAUGGUGAAAGUGAAAACAUGUGGUUAUUGUUGUGGCUACAAGGAGAAUGCGGCGAUCGGAAAUGGAGUAAGUGGUUGUGUCGUUGAGUUGUGGUGGUACGGCGGAGAAAUUAUGAUGUAGACGGUGGUUUCCGGAAGAUUAUAGAUCCGGAGGUGGGUAUGGGUUUUUAUGGUUAGUGGCGGAUGGAAAACACAGUGGAAGAAAUGGGGAGGUUUUGCCGGCGAAUAUUGGCGGUGACGGAGGAAUGGAGAAGGUGCGGCGGAUGCGCGUUGAAGGGAGAAUGUGGGUUGUCGUUGGGUUUGUCCAUGGCGGUGGCGGUGGAGUAAGGUGAGAGCGUUUGUGGUCCGCGGAGGAAGAAGAUGAACAGUCCUUUUUUAGUGGACUCCGCUGCCUUUUUCUUAAUGGAGCCUCUUGACCUUUUAUUUCUUUUCUGCAUUUUUCAGCUAGCUCCUCCCUCUCUUGACGUGUCAUCCUUUAAGUGGAUGGCCUUAUCUUUAUUUCCAGCUUUUCUCUUCUUGUUUUUUUGGCCCGUUAGAAUCAUGGCGUUGGAUAACCGCGUGGCACUUUCUCAUUGAAUGGAGAUAAAAUACCUUUGUUGGAGACAGGCUGGCCACGUUCCCCUUCAAUACCAAUCCUAAAACCAAUUUUGUUUUCCCCUUUCAUUGGGAGUUGGACGCGUGGUUGAGGAAUGGGCUCGAAGGAGAAUCCAAUGCAGAUGCUUCCAUCACCCUUUGUUAUUUUGAAUAGCAAUUAAAAUAUAAAAUAAAAUUAACCACUUAAAAUAAAGUCAAGUUAAUCACCCAAUUAAUUCUAAUUAAUUCAAAUGACUAUUUUGGCUAAGAGAUAAAAAUAAAUGGAUCAAUGAUGAAUAAAAGUCAGGCAUAAAAUUUACUCAAAAAAUUAAAUCGGAUGCACUAAAAUGAUCAGCACGAAACAUACUUAUUGGAAAAAUACAGCGUUUCUUUUAAUUUUGAAAUAAAUUUUCACCGGUUAAAAGGCUCAAAUGGAUUAAAAUGCAGCUGAAAAAGUCAUUGAAAAAUAUAACGAGCACACCAGGCUGAACUGCGCGAAGUGUAGAUUAAUAAUACUGGCGUCUGUAAGCUUAAUUUCGAAACUUUUUACCCGCUGAUUUUGCACGUACUUGAGAAGUGAUUUAACCAAUUUAUCUGUGUAGCGGGGUAUUCGUUACCUUUAGAUUUAUUGACUAAAUAAAAAGUAAAUCAUACAAUUCGAGUCGCCACCGCACUUCUAUUUAUCCAAAGGAAAGGUUAGAAAGCGAACAAAAACUGAGAAGUUUAUCGAAUCAAAAACUAAUAAAAAUGUCAGAGAUCGGGGUAAGGGGGUUGGUUAUGCAAUGGGUAGGUUUUAAGCACCCAAAACAUCCUAGGUACUCCUAGGGAGCCCUUUUCACAAUUUGUUGUAAGGUAGGUUGGUAUUUGGAAAAAAUUAUUUGUACAAACAUGAUUGGGGAGAUGAGAGAAGAAUGUACAAAUUAUUUACAAUUUUGUGUUUGAAUGGAUAAACCCAUUGCCUACGUACUAUCUUAAAAAAGGAUUAGGAUCAAAACCUCGUAGUUCGGGAUAAAAAUCUCAAAACAAGUUGGUGAAUUGAUUGGUCCAAAAGCCUCAAGGUCUUUUGUUAUCCAAGGGAGAAAACUCGACCUAAAACCACAAAUCCACCAUGUGAGGAUAGCUUCAACAUGCUAGUGAGGGGUUAACCCUAUAAUAAGCAUGGAAGACUCAUUGUCCAUCACUAAGGAUAUAGGUGAGUAUUAUAUUAACCUCAAGGAUAACUCAAACCUAAUAGCUAAUGGUUAUGAAAAGUUUUGAUAAGAAGUGGCCAUUGAAACCACAAAACAUUUGAAUGAGUUGUAUUUACCAAUGAAAAGUAUUUACAAAAUAUGGUCAAAGUUGACUUAAGGGUUCAAUUCAAAAUAAGUGUUAUGAAAGGAAAGUUUGAAAAUCAAAAGCAUAAUGCUUAGGUUUCUAAUGUUUGAAAACAAAUGCUAAUGUUUGCACAAAAGUUUUGGUUUGGGUUAGAGUGGAGGGAAGAAGAAGAAUGGCUAAGUCCUAAACAUACAAAGAUGAAGGAAAAGAAAUAAGACCACAAAUGGAGUUUUCUUCUUGAGAUCAUAGUGAUGAUCCAAGUAGCUCCCAUCCUUUGGAGUAAGCAAGCAAAUAAGCAAAUACUCAAGCAAUCAAUCAAUCAAGCAAGCUCUUAGGAAUCUUCUAAUGGCUCUUGUAUCUCUUACUUUAGAUGCACAUGACAACGGAUCUUCAAUUUGGCUCAAAUGGGAAUCCCUAGCAAAAGAACACACACAUCAAAAAAUUCCACAAAACAAACAAAGAAUGGACAAGAGUGAGUUUAGAGAUUAGGUCAUUCUAAUUCAUCUUCAACAUUAAGUCCUUUUUACUCCAUUUUUGCAUAGGGAAUGUCCUAAAGUCUAAGUCCUUUUGUCCAUUUGAAUUUGGUUCACAACAAUCAAAACAAAACACAAGCACAAUAGUAUAUACACAAUUAUGUGCUCAAGUGAGCAAAAGGCAAAUUGCAUUAACAUAAACAUGUGCUCAAAUGAGCAAAGGGCAAAAGCAAAAGUGAGCAAAAGGCAAAUUGCAUUAACAUAAACAUGUGCUCAAAUGAGCAAAGGGCAAAAGCAAAUGAAUAAUAUGUACAAGAAUAUUAAAUUGCAUUAAUGUAAAGUGCAAGAAUUAAAUGUUAAUGGUUAAUUGUUAGUGUUAGUGUGCCAUAAGGCAAUUUAGCGCUAUGUUAAGCAAUCGUAAGUGGACUAAUGUAGUAGUCACACCUAUCUGAGGCCGGUCAAUAAAAAUAUAGGCAAUAAACACAAGUUAGAGAUCUUGAUUAGUGAAUCAAGCUUCUACAACUUGCCAUGCCAAAAGAAAAGAAGGAUGAUCUUGUAUUGAUUUAGGUUUUCAUGCUUGAUUAGGAAGUAACCUAUCCUUAAUGCAAACCCAUUCACUUGAUCUUUGGAUCAAGAUGAAUUAGAUUUGAAUCAAGGAAGGUUAAAUCUUCCAUACAUCAAGGCUAACCAUCAAUCUUUAACUCAUUGAUCAAAAAGAAAAAGAUGAAGAAGAAGAUGGAUAAGAAUGUACAUUAAUGGAAUUCAAAUGAAGUAAGAAAAUUGGAUUGACCAAAGACAAAUGGAAUCAAGGUCAAACACUAGUAAACAAAAGCAAAAUGAAACUUAGAAGUUAAGAAACAAAUAAAAUAUUUUUGGUAUUUUUCAAAAUUGAAAUAAUACUUGAAUUAAAAUAAACAAUUAAAGGUCAAACUUCAAAUCCAUCUCAAAUCAACUUUGAAAAGUCCAAAUGGAUCAUCCUAAGUGCAACAAGGUCAAACAAAGUUUGACAAAAAAAAUUCAGCAUUUUUAGAAACCAGAAACUAUUUUUAAUCAAUUAAAAUGAUAAAAAAUAACCUAAUUGAAUUAAAAUCUCAAAUCAAUUAAUAAAUGGAUGAGAAUAUUUUUCAUAGAUCCAUCAUCAUUCAAAGAGGUUGAGAAAAUAUUUUUGUAUUUUUUGGAUAUUGAAAACUAAUUAAAAUGAAUUAAAAAUAACUAGAAAAGAGAAAAUUCAUAAAAAAUAUCAAAUAAUAAAAUAAAAAAUAUUAAAAAUCAUUUUUAGAAACUAGAAAUUAAAAGAGAAAUAGUGUCAUUGGUCUCAUAUUUUUUGGAAUUAAAAUGAGAGAGAUAUGAUUUUUUGAAAUAAAAUGAACUAAAAAAAAUAAAAUGGAUUAAAUCAGAAAAUAGGAAAAAACACACGCGUUGGAUUCAAUUCGUUAAAUGAUCUGGCAGAUCAAACGGCUGUGGCAUGCGUGCGCAUCAUGGACCUAAGUCAACUGAGCAACAUAAACUUUUAAAUAAAGUCAUAAGAUCCAAGAGCCUUGAUUCAAUCUGGGAAUCAUCAUCAACGGCCUGGACCAAAACUGGAAAACGGACGGUGGUGUAUACCACCAUCUUCUCCGGCGAGACCAGAGAUUCCGGCCAAAGUUGCAGAGAAAAAUUCUUAACCAAAUGAAGCGAUCCUCAUAUCAUUGGAAAGCUAGGGUGAUGUACAUCACCCCUGUACCAUUAGUUUCUCCUCUAGAUCCUCAUAGAGAGAGAAAUCAGAGAGAGAAAAUCAUGGUGUUCAAUCUGAACUUCAUGGAUUUGCAAAAUUAAAAGCACAAUUCGAAUGCCUCUGAUGAGAGGACUUCAGCCAAGCAAAGAAACACAAGAAACAAGCAAUAAUUAGGGAGUUUCGAAGAAGAAAAGUUUGAACAUCCACCUCUGAAAUAUGGAUCUGGAAAGCACAAUUCCUCUUAGCUACUGAUUGCAGUGUGAUCUAGAGAUGAAGAUGAAGCAAGGCCAAGGAAUUUUGAGUCUAAUAAUCAACCAAUGAAGUUGAAAAUCAGAUCUGAAAUUUUGAAAUGAAAGAGUGAAUUCCUUUAGGUAUGGCUAUGGAGGGAGUUUUGCAGCAUAACAGGUGCCUUCAGGUUAUUGAAUUAUGAAGCCUAGCACUCUUAUUUAUAGCAAUUGGCAAAGGCAAGCAUGAAAGUUUCAUGUGCAUGAAUGAAGAGGGCCUCCAUGCAUGGGCCUGUACAGGCGCAUGGAGGGCCCAAAUCCUAUUGGUUUAGCAAGCUUAACAUCAACAAAUGAGUUUUGGACUUGCAGAUGAAGUGUAAUUGGCUUAUGCAAUAAGUUUUCAAGUAGUUUCCAAAAAUGCACCAAAAUGUUCUCUUCUUCGAAAAUGCCUUUUUCCAAAAAGAAAACAUGGCCUUAUGGGUAAUGGUUGGAAAGCUCUUGACAUGAGGAUCAAUUGUUAUGUUGAGAAAAACUUCAUUUGGAAUUGGGAAAUUAGUGAAAAUUGGUCAUAAAGUGCAAGGUGCAAAACAUGUGUAUGUGAAAAUUUCCAAAAUGGGCCAACUUCAAGCCCUUCUAUUUCAAUGAUGAAAGCUCCAAAUGACAACACCUUCAAUAUAAAAGUUGUAGAUAUUUCCAAGACAAUCAAGGUUGACUCAAAUUGUGCAUCAUUUGGAUUUUUGAUGAGGAAGUUAUGGGCACUUGAAGUUAGACCUUUUCACAUUUCAAUGCCUUUGGUCCAAAGUGACCUAUAAUGUUUUGCAUUAUCACAUGUAUUUAUUUUAGGAUUAUGAAACUUUGGUCAACAUAACAAAUGAAGUAUACAUCUUAAACUUUCCAAUUCAUUUGAUCCCACCUCAAUAUCAUGAAAAAUGAAUGAGUUAUGUUCUUGGGAAGUUGACCCAAAAUUAGGGUUUCAGUCAAAAUGACCUAUAAUGUUUUGAAAUGGAUGAUGACCUUCCAAGCUUCAAAUAAAUUUUUGAUGAAAAUGAAAGUUGUUUAUAUGGUUCUUAAUAACAUUUUUUCUCUUGGAGUCAUCUCCAUUUGACAAGCACAUUAAAAUUUAGGUCUCAGUGUACUUCAAAAUAGUCAGAUGAAUUAACUGAUUAACUUCUCAAGUCCAAACCUCAUAUCUUGAUGAAUUGAUGAUUAAAGACACUCAAAUAAGCUCAAAUAUGCAUGAAAUGAUGAAUUAAAGGACUUCCCUUGAUUGUAUUUGAUCAUGGGUUGAGGUUGCUUCAUGGGCAAGGCACAGUUGAUGCACAUAUGAAUUAGGGUUUCCUUGGGAAACAAUCCUCAAACCCCUUCGUUUGCUUUGAUCAAAUUGAUAAAUUGAGAUACUUGUGAGGCAUAUAUGAUGGAUGAGAACCUUGUGAACCAUUAUCAUCCUUGCUUUCACCUUCACCUGGCCAUAUCAAUGAGCAUAGGGUCUCCUAGGAGCCUUGGAUCUUAUGAUUGCUCAAGCUACAAAACAAACAAAGUUAGUGACAUAUUUUUGUGCUUUUGGUUAGUAAACAAAAUAAGAAAAGCAAUAAUAUACAAUUCAAGCAUGCUUGGAUGACAUAUUUUUGUGCUUUUGGUUAGUAAACAAAAUAAGAAAAGCAAUAAUAUACAAUUCAAGCAUGCUUGGUGGUCUCAAACCAACUCACACAAGUUCCCACCCUAGGGUUAGGAACCAAGAUGCUAUGAUCCUUGAGGCAAAUGCAAAUGCAAUGAUAUGAUGCCAUGAGGGAUCUUAGGGUCAAAAUUAGGGUCGUACAGAUGUCCCUAUUUAAGGUCAUUCUAGCCAGAGAUGUGAAGAUUAAAAUCUUCGUCUCGACGAGGUAGAAUGGGCUUAAAUAAUAUCAAAGAGACGAAUUUUGGUCCCUAAGAGAUCUCAUGAUGCAAAUGUAUGUAUGCAAGAGGUAAUACUUUGCGGGGAUAUAUGUCCACAAAGGAAAAGAGAUCCAGAGAAACUGAAAAUCCAUAUGAGUAAUACACUCAUAAAUGGGACAGAGACUCUAGGGGGAUAAAGGGAAAUAGAAUGUGUGAGCAGGUCACGACUUGAAACUUGCUGGGAGACACGAAGGGAUUCCAUAAAAAUAAAUAAAUGGAAAGACUCGAUUUGACGCAACGAUGCAUGUAUUGGGGAAUAUGCCAAUACAGCAAAACUUUCGGCAAAGGAUACUUCGGAUAGAAAUCCGGACUGAGGCUAGGAAAAUUCAUCAAGGGACUCCGAUGGGGAAUGUCCCAAGAGGACUCAACUGAGGAAAAAGCAACUGAGGUAUUACCUGUUACUGGGUAAUAAGCUCAAAGAGACAUGUGAUCAAACACCGGUAUAAGGGUGAGAAAACAAACAUGCUCGGGGAUAAUGAAUAUCUAAGACCGGUAUAAGGGUGAGAGAUAUCAAUCAUCCAAAAUCAUCUGAGGAAGAUAGAAAAAGGUAUAUUUCAACUCAGGAAAAUCUGACUCCACAAGGGACAACAAGUCAUAAUAGGGAGCAGAAAGGAAAGAGCACCAGGGAUACCAGUUACUAGGCAUAUAAUAGGUGCCCAACCAAGCGUCAAUUGGGGAAUAUUCCCAAAACACUCAUCAUCCGAAAGGAGGGCUGAAAAAAGAAAACUCGAUUACAGGAUGGACAUUCGAUUCCAUAAGGAAAUACGAAUCUUACUCAAUUGGGGAAGAAAAAGACUUCGACUGAAGAGCGCAUGAGAUAUAUUAUCUAUUACCGUCAGAAUGUAGAUAAAAUACUCGCAUGGAAGAUUAUCCACAACCGGUUAUUGGGUUAAUAGAGGAUAAGUCAACCGAAAAGAAAUGACAUCGGGAUACCGAAUACCAUAUAUAAAAUGAUGAUCAAUCAAAGGGGAGAAACGAUCAUCACGAACAAAAAGAGGUGAAUGAAAGAUGACUCGCCGGGGAUACAUUGUUUGAUCAGAGCAAUUAUCCAAGAGAUAUAUCAUUGGUUACUGGGAGAUGUACUCAAAAGGUGGAGGAAUAUCGAUACCGAAUAUUGGAUAAAGAUAACCAACGAAGAGGGGAUUACAUCUACCGGUUACUGGGUAGAAAACCACAGAAGAGUAACCGUCAUCGGUUAGGAUGAACAAAAUCAAGGUUAACUAUUCAAGGGGAUAAGAUGGGGUUUAAAACUACCGGUAUGAGGAUAGAAAACCACAAAGAUAGGACUUAUGACUACCGGUUGCUGGGUAGAAGGCCACAUAAUUUCGUCGGGGAAAAGAUGGAUAAUUACUAGUUACUGGGCAAUCAUUCAUCUAAACCACGGGGAAAUGCGGGGGAAAUAACAAGAGGAGUCAAAUUAGGAACGAACUAGAGAGACACAAUGAAACAAAACUCAACCCUAUGAGGAUAUAACUCAGGGGAUAAAUUCCAUCCCAGUACAUAUUUUAGGGGGAAACUGAAAUAACAAUCAUCCACGAGGACAUAACUCAGUGGGGAAUGUGGAAGAAAGGGUAGACACUUUCUGCCUAUGGGGCUGACUCUAUAUGGAGAGAUCAGACACCAACAUUUACUUGGGGACAUAUAUACCACCAACUAGCAGGAGAUAACAAACAAAGAUAUAUGGCAAAGGAUGCAACAUGAAUAUCUGAAUGUUAUAAUUAUGCAUGUAUAUGUGUGGUUUAUGUAUGAUGAAUGCUGACAAACAGCCAUUUCUAACACAACCAGACCCAGGGAUCAAAUGGACAAACAUCUGGUACUACAUCUCGAAAGAGAAAGCCAGGUCCACCGGGGAAACUGCCAAUCUGACGGGGGCAAAAAAUACCAGGAAACAGUGAUCUCUGUAGGGGAAAGAGAAACAGUCACUCCGCUGGGAAGGAAUCAACACAUCUUCCUCAGAAAUUCCAACGCCACUCUGAAAUCAGACAAAGUCUUGGCUGGGGAACUGAACAUGGAUACGAUCCGUCGUGGAAGCAAAUGUAUUGGGGAAAUUAUCCAGGGGAAGGAUGAACCUCUGUGGGGAACAACCACCGAUCAAAAAGUUUUAAAACUAACUCAAAUCCUUGCACUGCUGGAUAAAUCAUCUCUGCCGAGGAGAAGAGACACACUACUCCACUGGGGAUGGAAAGAUAAAUAUUUACGUCACUCGCUCUGCUUAGGAGGAAACAACAGACAGGUUCUAGUGAAACACUGCUGAGGACUGACCAGGAACUACCUGUAGGUGAUCAGUUGGAGAUAUCCUGCUUGGUGACCAAACUGAGGAGCUGAAAUGGGAUCAACCCUGUUGAGGAUGAACAAAGUCAAACCUGCUGGAUAUUCAUGUAGGAGAAUCCGCGGGGGAAGCUACAAAUCAAAUUGUUGAGAAUUCCACUCAUGUUGGGGAUUUCCUACUCACUUUGCGGGAGAAUUCCAAUCUGAAUGAGGGAAUACCAACUCCCUCGAAAAGAUAGCAUAUCAAUUUAUCAAUUUAUAAGGGAUUUUAGGUCUAUCCACCCAAGGGAUGACAACCAUAUAAUUGAUAACAUAGAUGCUAGAUCCAGCCUCGCUGAGGAGUUAUAAGAUUAAGGCCAAACUCUCUGGGGAUUUUGUGGGAUGUUAGAGAUGUACUCCUCCCAACAAAAUGGGACCAAGGCUCCAGACUCUCUGGUGAACUUGGCGAUGCUUAACUUUCUUUUGCGCUUGCGGAGGAGACAAUCUGAAAGAUAAUGAAGAGGAUACAAGUAUGCUGUGAAUAUGAACAAAUGUCUUACCCUUUUGGAGAUCAUACUAUCCUUGGGAGAGCACUGAAGAUGUUCCAAUUAUCCUUUCAGUCAUUGUGAAUGUUCACUUUGUUUAAAACAGUUUAUGAUUUUUUUUUAAAACAAUGAUAUUUAUCAAUUAAAAUAUGCAAUAUUUGUUGAACAGAAACAAAUAAGACUGCAAAGAAUUAUAUAAAGGCUCAAAUUUAGUUGAUAGAAUGGUAGUCUAAAAAUGGCAAGACUCCAAGGAUCUUUACAAAUUUGAAAUUGGUGAUAUAUAUUGGAAAAGGGCUACAUUGAACAUAAUGACCAUUUCUCCACCAACUCCGAGUCCAAUGUAUUUGAAGCUUCAGUUGACAAUGACUGAGCGAAAUUCUCUGACAGAAGACAACUUGUAGAACAAAGUCUUGUCAGGAUGCAGUUACUUGCCAAAUCCCGAAUUUUUGCCUAGAAUGCCCCAAGGUGAGGUACUCAAUCUAGCGGGAUACAUAUUCAUUUUUUAUGUCUCUAACUUUUACCUGGACCGUCCUUUCAGGUUUUCAAUCCACCGAGACACUCAUUUUUGCCUAAGCCGCCCUUUCGGGUUUUCAACUUAGCGAGCUAUUCUAUUUUUAUUUUUAGGCGAAGUAUUUCUUGACUGUAUCUGAAUUCACAGGAUGAUUGAAAUCCUCCUCAUCCAUAGUUGUAAGUAUCAAUGCACCGCCUGAAAAGGCUCUCUUGACAACAUAUGGACCUUCAUAGUUUGGAGUCCACUUGCCCCUGGAAUCGGGCGCGAAAGACUAAACUUUCUUGAGCACAAGGUCACCUUCUCGAAACACACGAGGUUUGACCUUCUUAUCAAAGGCUUUAUUCAUCCUUUGCUGAUACAACUGACCAUGGCACAUGGCAGUCAAUCUCUUCUCUUCAAUUAAAUUCAGCUGGUCAUAACGACUCUAAACCCAUUCAGCCUCGAUCAACUUGGCUUCCAUCAAGACUCUCAUUGACGGGAUCUCCACCUCUACUAGGAGCACAACCUCCAUGCCAUAUACAAGGGAGAAAGGGGUUGCCCCUGUUGAAGUGCGAACAGAUGUACGAUAUCCAUGCAAAGCAAAUGGCAGCAUCUCAUGCCAAUCUUUGUAUGUAACAACCAUACAUAUACAAGGGAGAAAGGGGUUGCCCCUGUUGAAGUGCGAACAGAUGUACGAUAUCCAUGCAAAGCAAAUGGCAGCAUCUCAUGCCAAUCUUUGUAUGUAACAACCAUCUUCUGGAUAAUCUUCUUCAUGUUCUUAUUAGAAGCUUCAACAACCCCAUUCAUCUUGGGUCUAUAUGGAAAAGAAUUAUGAUGUGCAAUCUUGAACUCACUACACAGCUCUUUCAUCAUCUUGUUGUUCAAGUUAGAUCCAUUAUCAGUAAUGAUCUUAUUUGGCACACCAUAAUGGCAUAUGAGUUGGUUCUUGAUAAACUUUACAACCACCUGCCUGGUCACGUUUACAUAUGACGCCGCUUCAACCCAUUUGGUGAAGUAAUCAAUUGCUACGAGAAUAAAUUUGUGCCUGUUUGGAUGCUUUCGGGUCUAUCAUGCCAAUCAUAUCAAUUCCCCGCAUGGAGAAAGGCCAUGGUGAUGAAAUCACAUUCAGAAGUGUCGGGGGAAUAUGAAUCUUAUAUGCAUAAAUCUUAAACUUAUGGCAUUUCUUCACAUACUUGCAGCAGUCAGACUCUAUUGUCAGCCAAUAGUAGCCUGCUCUCAAAAUCUUCCUUACCAUGGCAUGUCCAUUGGAAUGAGUUACAAAUGAACCCUCAUGGACUUCAGUCAUCAAUAUGUCUGCUUCGUGUCUAUCCAUGUAUCUGAGCAAAACCAUAUCAAAAUUUCUCUUAUGAAACACAUCGUCAUUGAGGUAGAAACUGCCAGAUAAUCUCCUCAAAGUCUUCUUAUCUUUAACAGAUGCCCCAGGCGGGUAAAUCUGACUCUGAAGAAAACACUUUAUAUCAUAAUACCAUGGCUUAUCAUCUUUCACUUCUUCUACUGCAAAUACAUGAGCUGGUCUAUCCAAGCGCAUCAUAGUGAUAUUAGGAACCUCAUUCGAAAGUCUCACCACAAUCAUAGAAGCAAGUGUAGCUAGUGCAUCUGCCAUCCGAUUCGCAUGUCGAGGAAUAUGAAGGAAUUCAACCUCAGUAAAAAAAGUUGAAAUCCUCCUCGCAUAAUCUCUGUAUGGGAUGAGGCAAGGCUGAUUUGUCUCCCAUUCACCCUUAAUCUGAUUAACAACAAGGGCCGAAUCGCUAUAAACAUCAAGAUGCUUGAUCCUAAGAUCAAUACACUCUUCCAAACCCAUAAUACAGGCAUCAUACUCUACCAUAUUAUUCGUGCAUUUGAAAGUUAGCCUUGCUGUAAAAGGAAAAUGUGUGCCCUGAGGAGUAAUAAUCACUACCCCAAUACCAUUUCCAUAUUGAUUUACAGCGCCACCAAACACCAUGCUCCAUCGAGAACCAGGCUUUGGUCCUUCAUCGAGCGUAGGCUCAUCGCAAUCUUUCAUUUUCAAAUACAGAAUCUCCUCGUCUGGGAAGUCGUACUGAACUGAAUGAUAAUCCUCAAUUGGUUGAUGUGCCAAGUGGUCAGCCAAGAUACUACCUUUAAUAGCCUUCUGAGCCCGAUACUCAAUAUCAUACUCAGACAACAACAUCUGCCAACGGGCAAUCCUCCCAGUUAAAGCAGGCUUCUCAAAGACAUACUUGAUUGGAUCUAUUUUGGAUAUCAACCAAGUCGUAUGAUUCAACAUAUACUGGCGUAAGCGCUUAGCAGCCCAAGCCAAAGCACAACAUGUCUUCUCAAGCAUCGAGUAUCGAGACUCACAAUCAGUGAACUAAGUCGUAUGAUUCAACAUAUACUGGCGUAAGCGCUUAGCAGCCCAAGCCAAAGCACAACAUGUCUUCUCAAGCAUCGAGUAUCGAGACUCACAAUCAGUGAACUUCUUACUCAGGUAGUAGAUAUCACACUCUUUCUUCCCUGUUUCAUCUUGCUGACCAAGGACACAACCCAUAGAGUCUUCAAGAACUGUCAUAUACAUAAUAAAGGGUCUCCCUUCCACGGGAGGAGAUAGAAUCGGAGGCUCGGAAAAAUACUCUUUAAUACUGUCAAAGGCCUUCUGGCAAUCCUCGGUCCAAUCAUGACGCUGAUCUUUCCGGAGGAGCUUGAAUAUCGGCGCACAUGUGGUAGUCAUAUGGGAUAUAAAUCUGGAAAUAUAACUCAAGCGGCCAAGAAAACCUCGGACUUGUUUCUCAGUUUUGGGCGCAGGCAUCUCUUGUAUUGCUUUGACAUUGGCAGGAUCAACUUCAAUACCUCUUUCCCUGACAAUAAAGCCCAAUAACUUGCCGGAACGGACCCCAAAUGUACACUUGUUCGUAUUCAGGCGAAGCUUAUACUUCCUCAAAUGCUGAAAAAGCUUCAACAAGUGCUCAACAUGUUUAACUUCCGUUCUUGACUUCGCAAUCAUAUCGUCAACAUAUACCUCGAUUUCCUUAUGCAUCAUAUCGUGAAAUAAGGUGGUCAUAGCACGUUGAUACGUGGCUCCGGCGUUCUUCAAACUGAAGGGCAUCACUCGAUAACAGAAUGUUCCCCAAGGUGUGAUGAAUGUUGUCUUCUCCAUAUCCUCGGGUGCCAUUUUAAUCUGGUUAUAUCCGGAAAAUCCGUCCAUAAAUGAGAAGACAUUGAAUAUAGAUGUAUUAUCUACCAACAUAUCAAUAUGUGGUAGAGGGAAAUCAUCUUUUGGACUAGCUUUAUUCAAGUCUCUAUUGUCCACACACAUUCGGACUUUUCCGUCUUUCUUAGGCACGGGCACAAUAUUGGCCACCCAUUGAGGAUAUGUAGAAGUCACCAAAAACCCCGCAUCAAUUUGCUUCUGAACUUCUUCUUUAAUCUUCACUGCCAUGUCAGGAUGAGUUCUUCUGAGCUUCUGCUUCACAGGUACAUACUCAGGCUUCAAAGGCAGGAAAUGUUGCACGAUAUCAGUAUCCAGACCAGGCAUGUCUUCAGAUGACCAGGAAAAGACGUCGAUGUAUUCUCGUAGCAACUCAAUCAACCCCUUCUUCACAAAUUCUUCAAGGAGUGCCCCAAGCUUCACUUCUCGCACACAAUCUUCAAAUCCCAAGUUGACUGUUUCCAGAUUUUCAAGAUGUGGAUGAAUGAUCUUCUCUUCGUGCUCAAGUAGACGGGUAAUCUCGUCAGGAAUCUCUUCAACAUUAUCUUCUUCAGACUCAAAUACAGGGAACUCAAAGUUGGGAGAUGGUGUUGGAUCAUUAUGUUCAAUGAUUUUGGAUAUAAAAGAGAUUUCAGAAUUCAAGCAAGGAAAAUCAUUAUGCAGAUGAAAAGAUUGAUUUUAUUCUAUUUUUAGGGUUUUAUGUGAUCACCAAUUUCAUGCAAAAAAGCAAAACAUGAAAAUAAUUGGAAAAAACAAACAUUUAACAUGAAUUUAUUGAAUGAAAUAUCAUUGUAUUUAUGAGACAACAAUGUCAUCACUCCUCCUUUUGGCAUGGGAGAAGGGUUUUAAACAAAAGGUGAACUUUACGUUGACUUAUGGACAACUGUUGGAACAUCAACAACGACCCAGUUAUUACAGACCCCUCCAGGGAUGACAAAGUUGUCAGAAUCUUCAUCUGCAUCCUCUUCCACAAUAGCAGCGGCUUCUUCGUCUUGGACGGUGUGGAUGAAACCACCACUCUGAAACAGCCCAUGCUUGUUGAAAGUGCCCGAAGAAUACCCUAUGCCAGCCCAGGACUUGUUGUCUUCCAUCUUGAUCAUUUGUCCUAAACCAGUAGUUGUGCCAUGCUCAAUGGCCAACUUAGCAUCAUUGUAGGACGUAAAUGAAGAAGUUCCUUUCUUAGAAGGCUCAGCAAUAGAUAAGGCUUGGAACGGCGUCCCAACCUCAUCCUCAGCAUCUAUAUAAGAAAAGGAAGACAGGUGGCUAACCAAGAGAGCCUUCUCUCCCCCUACCACCACCAGCUUUUUGUUCUUGACAAAUUUCAAUUUCUGGUGUAGGGUGGAUGUCACGGCGCUUGCCUCGUGAAUCCAUGGUCUUCCUAACAGAUAGCUAAAUGAUGGGUGGAUAUCCAUGACCUGAAAAGUGAUCUGGAAAUCACUUGGUCCAAUCUUGACUAGGAGUUCAACCUCUCCAAUCACGGUCUUGCGGGAUCUAUCAAAAGCUUUUACAACCACUUCACUCUACCUCAUGGGAGGCCCCUGGUAUGACAGUCUAGCAAGAGUGGAUUUUGGCAACACAUUCAGUGAUGAUCCAGUGUCUACCAGCACAUUAGACAUGGCAUCAUCCUUAUAACUCAUAGAUAUGUGAAGUGCCAAAUUGUGGUCUCUUCCCUCCUCGGGGAGAUCAGCAUCAUAAAAACUCAAAUUGUUACAAGCAGUAAUGUUUGCAACAAUACUAUCGAAUUAUUCUAUUGUGACAUCGUGAUCUACAUACGCCACAUCCAACAUCUUCUGCAGAGCUUCUCGGUGUGGUUCUGAGUUUAUUAACAAAGAUAGCGCAGAGAUCUUUGAUGGCAUUUGUAGAAGCUGAUCUACAACGUUGUAUUCACUCCUCUUGAUGAGCCUCAGCAUCUCAUCACAAUCCUCUUUUAUCAUGCCAUUCUGGCCAGUAGGGAAAUGAGUUUUUACGGCGGUGGCAGGUUUAUUAGCAUUAAGUGCCAGAUUCAGAGCAACAAGAGAAUUUCAAACCGAACGAACAACACAAUCAGCAACAUCAUCCCUUCUGGUUUCAGCCUGGGGUUUCGGUGGAGCCGAGAAAACGAGACCACUACGGUCAGGCCGCUGACAUCAACAAUAUUAACCACAGAGGUAGAGGGCAAGGGCACCUCCAUCCCAUCUUCCAAUGCCACAACAUUGUAACGAUAGGGGACAGCCUUAUUAGAAGAAUAUGGCACAUGGCCAGCUUGUUUGAUUAUGAGAGAGGGGGAAGCCUUCUGCUUGCUGCCAUUAUAUCGGAUGACAACAGGCUCUAGGAUCCUGAAUACUGGUAAUAUCACAUUAACUUCAUCAUCCCCGUCGCGAUUCUGAAGUAUUUCUAUUACACCUUCAUCCAUCAUUUCUUGGAUGUCUUUUCGGACUUGACGAUACCCCAUCUGAUUGACAGUGCAAACACGGAAUCUGUCAUGGUGAUGCUCAUAAUGACUGUAUUCACACAACAUUCUGUGCAUCUCGACCAAAGAUUGUCGCAUAUGGCUGACAUAUCGGACCUUAUAUUUACCAGGGCAGCCCUGGACCAUGUUGAUAGCAGAUUUCCCAUGCUCGGGCAAUGGGUUCUUCUUGACGUUAGGACCUACGUCCUCGAAACACAAUAUACCGCUCAUAACAAGGUCUUGAACCUUGGUCUUCAGCGGGUAGCAGUUCUCCACAUCAUGUCCGGGAGCGUCGAAAUGAUAAACACAAUGUAGCUCUGGCUUAUACCCCCACUGAGGGUUGGUAGGUAUAGCCGGUGGGUCACGUGGAGUGAUAAGUUUCCUCUCUAUCAAAGAGGGAUAAAGCUCGGCAUAGGUCAUGGGAAUAGGAUCAAAACUGACCCUCUUCCAAUCAUAGCUUGUACUGGUCUGAUUAUUGUUUCGAGGCAGGUAGGCCUACUGUUGAGGACGGUGCUGUUGUUGUUGAUAUUGUUGGUGUUAUUGUUGUUGGUUCUGAUUAUUAUGCUAAUAGUGUUGGUUUUCUCUGAAAAUAGGUGCUAUGUGAGCCACCUGAUGCUGAUUACCGGCGGGACGCACGGUCUUCCUCUUCACAGAGGGUCUUAUGGGUUUAACAUGGGAGGUCACAGCAUGUGCCUCACCAUCUUUCUUCUUUACAAAUGCCCCAUAUUGUUUGGCAGAAGAGCAUUCUUCUCUAGUCAGGAGCCCUUCCCUGACUCCUUCCUCCAAAUGCAUCCCCAUAUUCACCAUCUCGGUGAAGUCAGAAGGAGCGCUGGCAAUCAUCCGCUCAUAAUAGAAUGAGCUCAAGGUCUUCAGGAAGAUCUUGGUCAUCUCUUUCUCUUCCAGCGGAGGCACAAUCUGUGCAGCUAGUUCUCGCCACCUCUGGGCGUACUCCUUGAAAGAUUCCUUGUCAUUCUGGGACAUGGCUCUCAAUUGAUCCCUAUCGGGAGCCAUAUCCACGUUAUAUUUGUACUGCUUGAUGAAAGCUUCACCAAGGUCAUUGAAGGAUCGGAUGUUCGCGUUGUCCAAACCCAUGUACCAUCCCAGGGCGGCACCGGACAGGCUGUCCUGGAAAUAAUGAAUGAGGAGAUGAUCAUUGUCGGUCUGAGUCGACAUCUUCCUCGCAUACAUAACCAAGUGGCUGAGAGGGCAAGUAUUUCCCUUGUACUUUUCAAAGUCAGGUACUUUGAACUUUACAGGGAUCUUGACAUUAGGAACCAGGUAGAGUUCAGCAGCAGACUUGCGAAAGAGGUCCUUCCCUCUGAGAGUUUUGAGUUCCUUACGGAGCUCAAGGAACUGAUCAUUCAUAGCAACCAUCUUUUCAUACACAUCUGGGCCCUCAGACGGCUUAGAGUGGUAAAUGGUGUCGUCUACCCUUGGCAUAAUAUGCACGACCGGAGGUGGAACGGCGAGGACCGGGCAAGAUGCCGGCAGAGAAGCAAACAUGGGGGCAAGACCCUCAGGAACAAAAUUCGCGGGCAUCCCCCAGGGAAACCCGGCUGGCAUAGCAGUUGGCACGAAAUGGGCACUAGCAGCAGACACUAUCGAGGAGGCAAUCUCAGAGAUGACUGUCCUCUAGGGAGGAGUUGAUGGCGUUGGAGACGACUGGCCUUGGGCGGCCAUGAAAGACUCCAUCAGGGCAAUCAAUCUCGCCACUUCCUCCUUGAGUUCUCUGUUCUCUUACUCUAAGUGAUCCAUCAGUCUUGAAGAGUUGGCUUUGGUGUAGCACCGGUGAGUCAGCUUGUCUUCAAAAUAAAUGAAGAACACAGAGUUAGACCAUUGAACAAGAAGCCUGGAGUAAAACCUGCUUAAGCACAUGAUGCAUGCGAUGCUUGUGCAUAUGAUUUAUUUUAUUUAUCAGAGGAACUUUAGAGUCCUAUUUGCAAAUAUUGAAAAUAUUAAUCAUUUAGACAUAUAUGGAAAUAUCAUAUCAAUAAUAUCUGGAAAAAAACUUUACACCAAAGAAGUACAGUCUUGGUAACCAAUAUACAAUACAAGAGAGAAGGAAAAUGAACAUCCUAUGGAACCCUAGAAACAAUCGUCUAAAGCUCUCGAGACUGGAAGAUAAGCUGCACGAAGCCUCUUCACCUUUCUCUCGUAGGCUGCCUCCAUAUCUGCCUUCUCUUUGGCGAGUCGAUCGUACUUCCUCUUCCAGAACUUGGAAGACUGAGGAAGAAGAAAAGUCACCACAUCAUCAGGCUCAUCGAUAACCUGAUGCUCAAGGAACUCUAUCAACGCAUCCUUAUCUUUAAGCUGCUGAAGUAGCUCCUCUCGCUCAUGGAUCCAAGCAUGCGAGCCGUCUUCGUUUCUCAACUCUUCUACUCAUUGGUCAGGGAGGGUUGAAGGCCCAACCACAACCAAAGGUGUAGGUCUCGGAUACUCGUAAGGCAUAAGGUACUCGGAAGCUCUCCUCCUCACCCACGAGGUAUAGGGUUCCAAAGCAAUACAGUUCUUCGGACCAAGCUCUUUCCUUCCCUGCCUACGGAUCUUGCGCCAAGCGCGGACCAUCCUGUCCUUCAAGCCUUGGGGAUCUUUACUCUCUUGAAAGAAUACACCUUCUAGUAGAAUGUUAUUGGGUUUAUCCUUUAAGGGGAACCCAAGCUGACGACGUGCUAAAAUAGAGUUGUAGUUAAUCCCGCCACAUGUACCAAGAAGAGGUGUGAGCAAAUUCUUUACUUUGAAUAAGUUUUGAAUGAUAGCAAAUUGUGUGAUCAUUGUCUAAUUAUUGGUUGUGCAUUAUUUUACAUGUUUCAUUUGUGUUUUUAGCCUAUACUAUUGUUUCGUAAUUAUUCUAUGUAUCGAUACAUACGAGCUUUGUAUCGAUACAUGCUUAGUUAAAAUGUUCUAUGUAUCGAUACAUACGAGCUUUGUAUCGAUACAUGCUUAGUUAAAAUGUUCUAUGUAUCGGAUACAUCGAGCUUGAUCGAUAAUGCUUGUAUAAUUAUAUAAAAUUAAUCAAAGCUACAGUAUGUAUCGAUGCAUAUUCUUUUGUAUCAAUACAUAAUUCUGUUUUGUCUACUAACAGCUUCUGUCUUUCACAUAUAAGAAGUAUUUUGACAGCUCAGUUAAAAACACACGAAUUCAGAAGUGAAAAACAGUUGUAGCACAAAUCAAAGGAGUGUGUAGCAACAAUUGUUUUUGAGCAGUUAGAAACUUGAAAGAGACUUCAUCUUCUUCAUCUUCUUCAUCUUCUCAAUCUCUUUUCUUCAAGAACAUCAACAUAUAAUCAUUCUUGUUCUUUGGAUUAAAGGAUCAACGAGAUAACGUUCAGUGGAACGUUCAAGGAUCUAGCUGAGGUGUUCAGUGGAACGAUCGAGGAUCUAGCUGCGUUGAAAGUUGAAGGGGGUUUCGAGGAAAAACCAAAUGGUUUGUCCUUCAAGAAUUGGAGUGUUCUUGCGGGUUUAUUAGUCACGUUUGCUGAACAGAUUCAGCCGUAGCGUAGGGUUUGGAAAUUGGGUAAUUUCGCAAACAGGUCGUGGAACCGGUGAAUUGUUUGCAAUUUCUUGCAGGAAAUUCUUGAUCGAGCUCAGAUCAAGUGGAGGUUUUACAGAGAAGAAGAUCUUGAUAUUUAGAUUUCUUUCUUUUGUAUUGUAACCUUAUAUCACGAAUUCGGCAUAUAACAGUUCUCAAUUUCAUUUGAAAUUGAGAGGGAGACGUACCCACACGCGAGGACGACAGUGGGGAACUUCCUUACCAAAUCUCUGCGUAUCGUAUUCUUUCCUUAUCUCUCUUUACUUUUUCAACAGUUUUGUGAUUUCAGUUGGUGUAUUGUGGCUGUACAUUUCGUGAUACAAUAGUGGCAAGAAAACUUCUUUAUCUAAACUCCACCACUGUUCAUCAUUGAUCACACACACACCAAAUGUUUGACAAAACUGUCAGCUGAGUUUUAUUCAUUGGAAUUAGAAUUUAGUGAUAAGUGCAUUUGAUUUGAUAAUAUUCUGGUGUUAAUAAUCUCUAUCGUUCUAAUUCAAAUCCAGCAAUAAACUCGCGUGUCCGGUUUUCUAGUAGCGGUUCAGAAUAGACGGAAGUCGAUUCGGGACUGUAAUUUUCCGCUAAGUAUCAAUAACUCUGAUAAGGAUUUUUAAAUCCGUUUAUUUUAAAAGAGGUGAUCUAUUCACCCCCCUCUCGAUCACUAGCCACACCGUCUAACAAGCGGUAUCAGAGCGCCGGUUCGCUGGUGUUCUGUGGCUGCCUGUAACGAUAUGGAUUCUGAACCAAAGGGGGCGUAUAAUAGAGCGCCGAUUUUCAACGGUGAAAAUUACGGCUACUGGAAAGACUGCAUGCGAGUUCAUAUAAAUUCUGUUGAUAGGCUAGUAUGGGCUGCCAUUGAAAAUGGUCCUUUUCAAAUUACUAUGACAAAUGCGGCUGGCGCCAUAGUUCCUAAACCAGAAGGUGAUUAGAAAUGAGAAAGAUAGAAAAAGUGGUCGAGUGAUUGGAGAGCUCGAAAUAUGCUAUUUCAGCACUUGGUGUUGAUGAGUAUUAUCGGGUAUCCCAUUGCACGACAGCUAAAGAAAUGUGGGAUGCUUUAGAAGUUGCCCAUGAGGGUACUACUGAAGUAAAACAGUCCCGCAUUAACAAACUCAAUCAAGAGUUUGAGCUCUUUCGCAUGAAACAAGGAGAAUCUAUCUCCGACAUGCAAAAGAGAUUUAUUCAUCUCACUAAUCGUUUGAAUGCACUUGGAAAACCUGUUUCCAAUGAAAUAGCUACUAAUAAAUUUCUGAGAUGUCUUAGCAGGGAAUGGCAACCUAAAGUAACAACUAUUAAGGAAGCCAACGAUCUAACGACACUUACGAUUACAACUCUGUUUGGAAAGUUGGAAGAACAUCAACAAGCAUUAGAAAGUCUUGAAAAGUUUGAGAACAAAAGUAAGAAGGAAAAGGAGAAGAAGAGAGACAAAAAGGGAGAGAAGAAGCCAAUAGUUCUUGUGGCCUCUAGCUCUAAGUCCUCACGAAAAGAGCAAAGUGACAAUGAUUCUAGUAGUGACAAAGAUUCCGAUGAUGAGGAAAUGGGACUUUUUGUAAGGAGAUAUAAUAGAUUCAUUCGAAAGAAUGGAGUCAAGCAUUCCGACAAAAACCUCAUGAAGUUUCAAAGACAAUCUACAGAUUCAAAACAGGAAGAGAAUAAGAAGAGUAGAGGAAAAGGAUCUUGUUUUAAUUGUGGUAAAUCUGGACAUUAUAAAAUAGAUUGUCCUAUGAAGUAUAAGGAUCAAGGAAAAGCUCCACCAAAAGGGUACAACAAACAAAGAAGAGCUUACAUUGCAUGGGAAAGUGAUAGUGAUUCAUCAAGCACACAAAGUUCAAGUGAUAGUGAUGAAACCGCAAAUCUGUGCCUUAUGGCUCACACCAAAAAUCUGUCCUACCACAAGAAGAAAAUCAAUGAUAAAAAGGUAAAACAAGCCUAUUAUAAUAAUUUCUCUUCUAUGUCUUUUUCUGAACUGAAAAUAGCUUUUGAAAAACUGCAUAACGAAGCUGUAGAUGCUUUUAAAAGAUUAUCUUCCGAUAAACAAAUUUUUUCAUUUCUGGAAGGUAAAGUAUACAAAGCUGAAAAAGAUUUAGAAUGGUUAAAAGCUAGUAUUGCAGAAAAUUCAAAAAAUAUUGACAUUGAUGGAUGUAGUAAAGUUGGGUAUUGUGAAGCUUGUCAUAUUUGGCAACAAGAGGUAAACACUCUCAAGGUCAAAUUGGAAAAAGCUUUACAACCUAAGGUUACUUAUGCCGUUGACUCUAGGUUGUUUAAGAAGUCAUUAAAUCCACCAUAUGCAAAAUACUCUUUUAUUCCAAAGGAUUUAAUGAACAAGAAUAAACAAACACAUCAUCAUGGUUUAUGUCAUUAUUGUUGUCGUGCUGGCCAUACCAUUGAGAAAUGCAAGUUUAGGAGAUUUCUUGUUCCUAAAGGUAUUUAUCAAUGGAAGCCAAAAGGCAACCAUGUUAGCACUUACCCACUUGGACCCAAUGAAAAUUGGGUACCAACUUCUCUCUUUUGAUAUUGUAGGAUGAGUGCCUUGCUUCCGUAGAUAGGAGAUGGUUUCUUGACAGCGGUUGCUCAAGGCACAUGACCGGUGACAUAUCGCUUUUUAUAGACUUCAAAGCAAAGAAGAAGGGAUAUGUUACUUAUGGAGACAAUAACAAAGGAGCUAUACUUGGCAAAGGUAGUGUAGGUAAUCCCUCUACCACUACUAUUUCUGAUGUCCAUUUAGUAGAGGGGCUUAAACACAAUUUGUUAAGCAUAAGUCAAUUGUGUGACAAGGGUUAUAAAGUUUCUUUCACAAAAACUUGCUGCAUAAUUGAACAUGCUGAACAGAACGUUGUGUUUAAGGGUGUAAGAGUAAACAAUAUCUAUAUGCUUGACCUUUUUGAUGUAUCUUUAACAAGUACUAAAUGUCUAGUUACCUUGAAUGAUGAUUCUUGGCUUUGGCAUAGACGUUUAGCGCAUGUUAGUUUUGAUUUGCUUAAUAAGGUUGUAUCUAAGGAUCUAGUAGUCGAUCUUCCAAAAAUAAAAUUUUCAAAAGACCACCUAUGUGACGCGUGCCAAAUGGGAAAACAAACGAGGGUCUCUUUUAAAUCUAAAAAUGUAAUUUCAACUUCACGAUCCCUUGAGCUUCUCCAUAUGGAUCUCUUUGGACCUUCUAGGACAAAGAGCAUAGGUGGAAAUUAUUAUGGUUUUGUAAUCGUUGAUGACUAUUCUAGAUUUACUUGGACUAUAUUCCUUCAUAGGAAAGAUGAAACUUUUUCUGCUUUUAACAAUUUUGCAAAUCUGUCCCAAAACAAAAUGAAUUCCAAAAUAGUUACAAUUCGUAGCGAUCAUGGUGGUGAAUUUCAAAACUAUCACUUUGAUAAGUACUGUGACAAGUAUGGUAUUAAGCAUAACUUUUCAGCUCCUCGAACUCCACAACAAAAUGGCGUUGUGGAGCGUAAAAAUCGUGUUUUAGAGGAGUUGGCAAGAACAAUGCUAAAUGAGGGUGGAUUACCAAAAUACUUUUGGGCUGAUGCAGUUAGCACAGCUUGUUAUGUUUUAAACAGGAUCUUAAUUCGUCCUAUUUUAAAUAAAACUCCUUAUGAGCUUUUAAAAGGAAGAAAGCCAAACUUGUCACAUCUUCACGUAUUCGGUUGUAAGUGUUUUGUUUUGAAUAAUGGUAAGGAAAAUAUUGGGAAGUUUGAUGCAAAAGCGGAUGAAGGUAUCUUUCUUGGAUACUCACAAUCAAGUAAAGCAUAUAGAGUAUAUAAUAAGCGUUUACUUACUGUUGAAGAAUCUGUCCAUGUUUCUUUUGAUGAGUCUUAUCCGAAAAGUGUCGGAAAAGGUAUUUCUUUUGAUGACGCAGGUGUAUCUACAGAAGACAUACUCAAGGAAGCUGUUACGGAAACUGAUCAGUCCAGAACAGUUGCCCAUGAGAAGGAGGAAGAUACUAGUCAUGAAGAAGAUGAGGAAGAAAGGACAGCUGAAGUGAAUGACCUUCCACCAGCUUGGAAAUCUUCAAAAGACCAUCCUAUUGACAACAUCUUGGGAGAUAUUUCAAAGGGAGUAAUGACUCGUUCUAAGAUAAGUAAUUUUUGUUCUCACUUCGCUUUUGUUUCACAAGUAGAACCUAAAAAUGCCAAAGAGGCCUUGAUUGAUGAAUUUUGGCUAAUGGCCAUGCAAGAAGAGCUUAAUCAAUUUAAAAGAAAUGACAUUUGGGAACUUGUCCCUCGUCCGCGAGAUCAUCAUAUCAUAGGUACUAAAUGGGUUUUUAGAAAUAAGCUUGAUGAAAACGGAGUGAUAACUAGGAACAAGGCACGUUUAGUAGCACAAGGGUAUAACCAAGAGGAGGGCAUAGACUAUGAGGAAACUUAUGCUCCAGUUGCUCGCCUUGAAGCUAUACGUCUCUUGCUUGCCUAUGCGUGUUCUAAUAAUUUUAAGCUUUACCAAAUGGACGUAAAGAGUGCGUUUCUAAAUGGUGUCAUAAAUGAAGAGGUAUAUGUCUCACAACCUCCUGGUUUUGAGAAUGCUGAAAAUCCAGAUUAUGUUUACAAAUUAAAACGAGCUUUGUAUGGUCUUAAACAAGCCCCUCGGGUUUGGUAUGAAAGGCUUAGCAAAUUUCUAAUUGAUCAUGGAUAUUCAAGAGGUAAAGUGGAUAAUACUCUCUUUAUUAAACACAAGGGAAAGCACAUUCUUUUAGUUCAAGUUUAUGUAGACGAUAUAAUUUUUGGUUCAACUAACACACACUUGGUCGAAGAAUUUUCUAAGGUUAUGCAGGGUGAAUUUGAGAUGAGUCUUAUGGGGGAGCUGAAUUACUUCCUAGGUCUUCAGAUAAAGCAACUUGAUGAGGGUACAGCAGUAUGUCAAACAAAGUACUGCAGAGAACUACUCAAGCGCUUUGGAAUGAACGACUCAAAAUCAAUUGACACCCCUAUGCCUACCAACGGAAAUCUAGAUAAAGAUGAGCAUGGUAAGAGUGUAGAUGUCAAAAAGUUUAGAGGUAUGAUUGGGUCUCUUCUGUAUCUUUCUGCUUCUAGACCUGACAUCAUGUUUAGUGUUUGUAUGUGUGCACGAUAUCAAUCAAAUCCUAAGGAAUCACACCUGAAAGUUGUUAAGCGUAUAUUUAGAUAUCUUCAUGGAACAUCUAAAUAUGGGCUUUGGUAUUCCAAAGGAAGUGAUUGUAGCUUAGUAGGUUACUCCGAUUCUGAUUUUGCUGGCUGCAAGUCAGAUAGGAAAAGCACGAGUGGUACAUGUCACUUGUUUCCAAACUCCUUGGUAAGUUGGCAUAGCAAAAAGCAGGUAUCUGUGGCUUUGUCAACUACAGAGGCAUAGUACGUUAUAGCCGGUAGUUGUUGCGCUCAGAUUUUGUGGCUAAAGCAACAACUACAAGACUUUAACAUUCAACUCAAACGUAUUCCAAUAAAAUGUGACAACACUAGUGCCAUAAACCUUACUAAAAAUCCUGCUUUACACUCACGCACUAAACACAUAGAGAUUAGACAUCACUUUCUUCACGAUCAUGUUGAAAAAGAAGACGUUGUAUUUGAGCAUGUUGAUACUAAAAACCAGCUUGCUGACAUUUUCUCUAAACCUUUGGCAACGGAACCGUUCUUCAACAUUCGUCGUGAAUUAGGGAUCUUAGAUCUCUCUCCAUUGUUGUCUUAAGCAUGUUUGUUCUUAUUUAUAUUAUGCCUCACCUUGGUUGAUGAGAUUUGUUUUAGAUUUCAUUUAUACCUCACAAGGUUACAUCAACAGAGGUAAUAUCACUCCUUUCUAUAUCUCUUUUAGAACUAUGUGAUUGUGUAUGUUAGAACAAAAUUCCUUAUUUUCGUUUAUGUGAAUUUCUUUGCAUAUAUUGUUUGAACAUUAAUAUCUGAUUUGUGAAUUAUACUUGGGCAUCAUUAUCAUGACAUACUUCAUAAUGCAUAACCAUACUGCAUAAAAAUUAAUUAAAAUUUGGUUUGGCAUCAGUAUGUAUCGAUUCAAAGAUGUAUGUAUCGAUUCAUGUCUUCUUCAUUUCACAUCUGUCAAAAUUGGUUCAGUAUGUAUCGAUUCAUUCGUCGUUUGUAUCGAUACAUAGACCCUUUAAAAACAAAAAUGCGUGACAUGGAUCGAUCCAUUCCCAUAUGCAUCGACACAUACUGAUUGUUAUUUGGAUUAAAUGCAUUUUAUUUCACUCAUGGAUCGACACAUCAGCAAUUCUUAUCACAUCUUUUCACAAACUUGGUAUCAGCAGUUCCCCUACCUCUCAAAACCUGCGGCUAACCCUAAUCUCCUUCAUCAUCAUUCUCUCCAAAACCCUAAAUUCAUCUCACUUUUCUUCAAUUUUUCAUCACCAUGCCUCCAAGAAUCAUUCCGGCUAGAGCAAGGGGAAAAGGAAAAGGAAAGGAACCGGUUGGCACUUCUCAGCAGUUACCAGAAAUUCCUCCUAAUGCCUUAGAUUUGCUUCAUCCUGCAAUUGCUACUGAGUUUGAGGAUUCUUUCAAGACAAGGUUAGUUAUGAAACCCCAUGUCUUCGAUAAACAUGAUGUUAUUCAUCUGCAUCUCAAUGAUGUGGUUGAACUCCUUAAUGCACAAAAACUUGGUUCAUUUUUUACUACAAAGGAUGAUUACCAUGAGGAUUUUAUCCGUGCAUUUUAUGCUGGCUUACAAUCUGGUAAAGGAUAUAUGUUUAAGUGUUCUAUUGGUGUCAGAACCUAUACUUUUGAGGCUGCUGAUUGGGAAACAGUGUUUCAAAUUCCGCUUCCGUCGCAUAAUUUCAAGACUUGGCAUGACUUGAAGUUUGAUACUGACUUUAACCUGAAGGAGUUUACUCUAUCUAUCUUGAAAUUGGACAGACCGCUGGGUGAGGAUGAACAGGUUACGUCUGGUAUGAUUAAGAAAAUUCCUCGUAUACUUCAGUGGAUUAUCUCGCACAUUCUGCGUCCAGCAAACAGUGGACAUUCUAGGUUAGACAGGGCAGGCAUUCAUCUCUUGUAUACUCUUCAAAAUAAGGUUCCCUUGAAUUGGGCAAAUUACUUUGUGAAGCGUCUCUUUUUCGUGCGUAACAGUGCCAAGAAUGUUGCUCUUGGUUAUGCGUCUCAAAUCAUGAAAAUUCUUACGUUCUGGAAUGUUGCAAUCCCUUUAGUUCCUCUCAUAUCACCAUCUGCUGCUCAAGAGUUUGACUCUUCCACUUUAUCUCAUAUGGGAUAUCGGUGGGACAAGGAACGUCAAUGUUUCUAUUUCUUUGAAAGGAAAUCCAAAACAAGGAUCUAUAAUUUUGAUGUGCCUUCUGAACGAAUUCAUGUAGUUGAAGACCAACCUGAUGAAGAAAUGCAUGAUGUGAACGAAGCAGAUGUGCCUGCAGCUGAUGACAAUGCUGGUUGGGGUGAUUGGGUGCCACAAAGGUGGUCUCCAACCAACUAUGUACCUGAACCAACGGUUCCUCCGUUCUCCGGCGGUGCUUCAUCUUCAACACCUACUGCGCACCUAACUCAAAUGCUUCAACAAAUGGAGCUUGCCAACCAAGAACGUCAUGAAGAGGCACGGUCUUGGCAUGUACAACAAAGUGAGUGGUAUAAGGAGCACCGUGAGUGGCAUGACGAUCAUACACGGAUGUACCAUAACCAAUACUCUUGGCACACAGACUUGGUUAAGUGGCACCAAGUCUUCUACAAUGAUGUCUGGUUUUAUGGACGACUGCCGUGCCAAUCCUGGUAUUAUGGACAUAUUCAGAAGUGUUGAAGUUCAGGACUGGUUCAGGCACUACACCUUCGUGGGCCACAAUCCAGAUGCAAUGCCUCCUCCUCCGCCUCCGCCAAGCUUCAGAGAUCCUGAUAGAGAUGACGAGGAGUCAUGUGGUGGCUAUAAUCCACAUUAAACCAUCAUCAUUUCAUUUCACUGCAUUUUAUUGCAUGUUGCUUGAGUUUUUUUCUUUUCAGAUUAGUUGCACCUUAUAUGUAUUGGCUUAUGUAAUUUUUAAAUACUUUCUACUAGUUAAAUGCUUAUUUCCUUCUGCUUACUUCUGGUGUUAUUGCCCUUAUUUGUCAUUCUUUGUGAGUGAUUCUUUAAUUUUUAAGCUUCCUUCUUUGUGAUUGUUAGCUUCUUUAUCAUUUUUGCUAUGUCCUGCUACAACAUGUUGCCUUGAUAAAACUGUUUUUUUCUUCUUUUUGAUGUUGACAAAGGGGGAGAAAUGCAGAUGUUGACAGAUAUGCACAAACUCAGGGGGAGUAUCACACAUCUUGCUAAAAAUUUGCCAUCAUCAAAAAGGGGGAGUUUGUGAGCAAAUUCUUUACUUUGAAUAAGUUUUGAAUGAUAGCAAAUUGUGUGAUCAUUGUCUAAUUGUUGGUUGUGCAUUAUUUUACAUGUUUCAUUUGUGUUUUUAGCCUAUACUAUUGUUUCGUGUCUAUACAUAAAGAUCCACAUUGAUACAUUUCUUAAAAGAACUCAUAAAAACUGUUUUGUGUCAGUAUGUAUCGAUACAUGUUCAUCUGCAUCGAUACAUAAAUUUGUUUUAAAUCACAAAACGUUUUUGCUUCAGUAUGUAUCGAUACAUACGAGCUUUGUAUCGAUACAUGCUUAGUUAAAAUGUUCUAUGUAUCGAUACAUACGAGCUUUGUAUCGAUACAUGCUUAGUUAAAAUGUUCUAUGUAUCGAUACAUACGAGCUUUGUAUCGAUACAUGCUUAGUUAAAAUGUUCUAUGUAUCGAUACGUACGAGCUUUGUAUCGAUACAUGCUUGUAUUAAUUCUCUAAACUUAAUCAAAGCUACAGUAUGUAUCGAUGCAUAUUCUUUUGUAUCAAUACAUAAUUCUGUUUUGUCUACUAACAGCUUCUGUCUUUCACAUAUAAGAAGUAUUUUGACAGCUCAGUUAAAAACACACAAAUUCAGAAGUGAAAAACAGUUGUAACACAAAUCAAAGGAGUGUGUAGCAGCAAUUGUUUUUGAGCAGUUAGAAACCUGAAAGAGACUUCAUCUUCUUCAUCUUCUUAAUCUCUUUUCUUCAAGAACAUCAACACAUAAUCAUUCUUGUUCUUUGGAUUAAAGGAUCAACGAGAUAACGUUCAGUGGAACGAUCAAGGAUCUAGCUGAGGUGUUCAAUGGAACGAUCGAGGAUCUAGCUGAGUUGAAGGUUGAAGGGGGUUUCGAGGAAAAACCAAAUGGUUUGUCCUUCAAGAACUGGAGUGUUCUUGCGGGUUUGUUAGUCACGUUUGCAGAACAGAUUCAGCCGUAGCGUAGGGUUUGGAAAUUGGGUAAUUUCGCAAACAGGUCGUGGAACCGGUGAAUUGUUUGCAAUUUCUUGCAGGAAAUUCUUGAUCGAGCUCAGAUCAAGUGGAGGUUUUAUACAAGAAGAAGAUAUUAGGAUUUAGAUUUCUGUCUUUGUAUUGUAACCUUGUAUCAACGAAUUCGGCAUUAUUGAUAACAACAGUUCUCCAUUUCAUUUGAAAUUGAGAGGGAGACGUACCCACACGCGAGGACGACAGUGGGGAACUUCCUUACCAAAUCUCUGCGUAUCGUAUUCUUUCCUUAUCUAUCUUUACAUUUUCAACAGUUUUGUGAUUUCAGUUGGUGUAUUGUGGUUGUACAUUUUGUGAUACAAUAGUGGCAAGAAAACUUCUUUAUCUAAACUCCGCCAUUGUUCAUCAUUGAUCAUAUACACACCAAAUGUUUGACAAAACUGUCAGCUGAGUUUUAUUCAUUGGAAUUAGAAUUUAGUGAUAAGUGCAUUUGAUUUGAUAAUAUUCUGGUGUUAAUAAUCUCUAUUUCGUUCUCGAUCAAAUCCAACAAUAAAUUCGCGCGUGUCCGGGUUUCUAGUAGGCGUUCAGAAAACAUUUAGAUAAAGCAAUACGGCGAAGUCGAUUCGGGACUGUAUAUUUCCGCCUAAGUAUCAUAACUCGAUAAGAUUUUUUAAAAUCCUGUUUAAUUUAAACAGAGGGUGACUACUUCACGAUCCCCACCCCCCUCUCGAUCACAAGAGGCACAUUGAAGAAUUCAGCACAAGAGUCGAUAAUCUACACACCAUCGUAUACACGGUUGUACCAAAAGAUAUCAUCAUUAGUGAGAGACAUAAGCCUCAUGGACCACCGUAGACAUCCUUUGUUCUCCUUGAAGGCGACCGUCUAUGGCAAGUGCGAAAUAAACCACUUGUACAACAGAGCAAACAGCACACAAUGGUACCACCACCCUUUGCGUUCCUCAUAUGCAAAGAGAAAUAAGUGUCACCCAACAGAGUCCGAACAGGAUUAAGAGUGGAGAAAAUCCUAAUAGCGUUCAUAUCCACAAAUUUGUCGAUGUUGGGAAAUAACACUAGCCCAUAGAUGAGAAGUACAAAUAUAGACUCAAAGGCGUCCUCGCUCAUGGCCUUCCCAUACAAAGUAGCUUGAGCAAUGAGGAAAUCAGAAGGGAGACCUUGAAUUCCACCUUUGCUAGUCAUAUGAGCACCAACCAGAGAUUCAUCUAUAUGCAACAAAUCAACAAUCUCUUGAGAAGUAGGAACCCUCUCUAAGCCACUGAACGGCAACUGAUCUAGGAUAGGUAUACCCACAAGAUAGACAUACUCCUCAAGCGUGGGCAAAAGCUGAAAAUCCAGAAAUGUGAAGCAACGGUACAAGGGAUCAUAGAACUGCACCAAUACACUCAUCAGACCUUCAUCCACUUGAGUGGCAAGAAUAGACAGAAGCUUCCCAUGACGAGCCUUGAACUCCAAGGGAUCUAAUACAUAGGAUGUCAAACUCCUUAGCUCUUUCAAGUCGGGUUGUCUGAAGUUGUACUUCUUUGUAUUCCUUCUUUGUCUAUCCAUGUCUGAAAAUUUGCAAAUAGACCUCUUAAGUUCCUUGAAAAUUUUCUCAUUAUUGAUGAUAUGGAUGUAAAUGGAUGCAUGAAUGCAUCGAUGCAACAAUCACACUCAAGGAUCAAGCAAAGCACACCACACAAAGGUCAUGGGAUGGAUCAAGUCAUCCUUAAUAUCAAUCAUCCAUUUUGGUGGAUUAUGGUUUACACCCUUCUCACACCCAAGUCCAUUGAGAGAGAAGGAUAUAAACACAGAACCUGAUAAACCAUGAACUCAACCGGUUUGUAUACAAGUCACCGAAGCGUGGAAGUCUCGUCUAAGAACCACCCAAAGGGCAUCUGUACCUAGGGUUAAACCUGAAACCACUCAUGUCUAAACAAGAGGUUCCCAUAGUCAUCAUCCCAUCUUUCGGAUAUUAUCGGAUAAACGACUACUCGUAUUCCAAAAAUAUUCUCAAGAGAGACUCUUAUGAGUGUAGUAUCGCGUAACGAUCGUAUCAAAUCUUACACUUGAACGACCUUCGCACUACGUCCUAAAAAUAGGCCAAGAUGGGCUUGGUAAACUAAGGUCCUUGGCUUCUAAGGUCUAUAUUGUAAAGAGUAAUGCCUAACCACGACGACUCGUGUGACAUUAUUGAUCCCAACAUGACCUCCACCAAGUGAAUGGGUUUGCAAGUCAACUUGCUAAGGAAUAACUCCACACAAGUCAAUAAGACUAUGCCAUUCUCUUAUUCUAAGUGCACUCAAGUUCGGGUAUAGAACUCAUCUCACAAAGAUCACCAAGCAUACAAGGAAUUAAUAUAUCAAGCAAUUCAAUCAUUACAUACAAUACAGUAAUCCCAAAUUGCACAUAAAUAUGUCACAAAAUAAUAUACACAAUACAAUACAACAAAUGUGAAAAGUAGGCAAAACCCACUAGGCAAAUGUCCCCAGCGGAGUCGCCACUUUUCUGUAAAUCAUACAAUUUGAGUCGCCACCACACUUCUAUUUAUCCAAAGGGAAGGUUAGAAAGCGAACAAAAAUCGAGAAGUUUUAUCGAAUCAAAAACUAAUAAAAAUGUCAGAGAUCAGGGUAAGGGGGUUGGUUAUGCAAUGGGAAGGUUUUAAGCACCCAAAACAUCCUAGGUACUCCUAGGGAGCCCUUUUCAUAAUUUGUUGUAAGGUAGGUUGGUAUUUGGAAAAAAAUAUUUGUGCAAACAUGAUUGGGGAGAUGAGAGAAGAAUGUACAAAUUAUUUAUAAUUUUGUGUUUGAAUGGAUAAACCCAUUGCCUACGUACCAUCUUAAAAAAGGAUUAGGAUCAAAACCUCGUAGUUCGGGAUAAAAAUCUCAAAACAAGUUGGUGAAUUGAUUGGUCCAAAAGCCUCAAGGUCUUUUGUUAUCCAAGGGAGAAAACUCGACCUAAAACCACAAAUCCACCAUGUGAGGAUAGCUUCAACAUGCUAGUGAGGGGUUAACCCUAUAAUAAGCAUGGAAGACUCAUUGUCCAUCACUAAGGAUAUAGGUGAGUAUUAUAUCAACCUCAAGGAUAACUCAAACCUAAUAGCUAAUGGUUAUGAAAAGUUUUGAUAAGAAGUGGCCAUUGAAACCAUAAAACAUUUGAAUGAGUUGUAUUUACCAAUGAAAAGUAUUUACAAAAUAUGGUCAAAGUUGACUUAAGGGUUCAAUUCAAAAUAAGUGUUAUGAAAGGAAAGUUUGAAAAUCAAAAGCAUAAUGCUUAGGUUUCUAGUUUUUGAAAACAAAUGUUAAUGUUUGCACAAAAUUUUUGGCUUGGGUUAGAGUGGAGGGAAGAAGAAGAAUGACUAAGUUCUAAACAUACAAAGAUGAAGGAAAAGAAAUAAGACCAUAAAUGGAGUUCCCUUCUUGAGAUCAUAGUGAUGAUCCAAGUCGCUCCCAUCCUUUGGAAUAAGCAAGCAAAUAAGCAAAUACUCAAGCAAUCAAUCAAUCAAGCAAGCUCUUAGGAAUCUUCCAAUGGCUCUUGUAUCUCUUACUUUAGAUGCACAUGAUAAUGGUUCUUCAAUUUGGCUCAAAUGGGAAUCCCUAGCACAAGAACACACACAUCAAAAAGUUCCACAAAACAAACAAAGAAUGGACAAAAGUGAGUUUAGAGAUUAGGUCAUUCCAAUUCAUCUUCAACAUUAAGUCCUUUUUACUCCAUUUUUGCAUAGGGAAUGUCCUAAAGUCUAAGUCCUUUUGUCCAUUUGCAUUUGGUUCACAACAAUCAAAACAAAACACAAGCACAAUAGUAUAUACACAAUUAUGUGCUCAAGUGAAUUUGCAUAG